UACGUAGGGUGCGAGCGUUAAUCGGAAUUACUGGGCGUAAAGCGUGCGUAGGCGGUUCGUUAAGUUCGUUGUGAAAGCCCCGGGCUCAACCUGGGAAUGGCAAUGGAAACUGGCGGGCUGGAGUAUGGCAGAGGGGGGUGGAAUUCCGCGUGUAGCAGUGAAAUGCGUAGAGAUGCGGAGGAACACCGAUGGCGAAGGCAGGUCUCUGGGCUGACACUGACGCUCAUGCACGAAAGCGUGGGGAGCAAACAGG
rnacentral:rRNA from 1 species